rnacentral:rRNA from 1 species
AACGCUGGCGGCGUGCUAAUACAUGCAAGUAGAACGCUGAAGGAGGAGCUUGCUCUUCUGGAAGAGUUGCGAACGGGUGAGUAACGCGUAGGUAACCUGCCUGGUAGCGGGGGAUAACUAUUGGAAACGAUAGCUAAUACCGCAUAAGAUUGAAUAUCGCAUGAUAAUUGAUUAAAAGAUGCAAAUGCAUCACUACCAGAUGGACCUGCGUUGUAUUAGCUAGUAGGUGAGGUAACGGCUCACCUAGGCGACGAUACAUAGCCGACCUGAGAGGGUGAUCGGCCACACUGGGACAGAGACACGGCCCAGACUCCUACGGGAGGCAGCAGUAGGGAAUCUUCGGCAAUGGGGGCAACCCUGACCGAGCAACGCCGCGUGAGUGAAGAAGGUUUUCGGAUCGUAAAGCUCUGUUGUAAGAGAAGAACGAGUGUGAGAGUGGAAAGUUCACACUGUGACGGUAUCUUACCAGAAAGGGACGGCUAACUACGUGCCAGCAGCCGCGGUAAUACGUAGGUCCCGAGCGUUGUCCGGAUUUAUUGGGCGUAAAGCGAGCGCAGGCGGUUAGAUAAGUCUGAAGUUAAAGGCUGUGGCUUAACCAUAGUACGCUUUGGAAACUGUUUAACUUGAGUGCAGAAGGGGAGAGUGGAAUUCCAUGUGUAGCGGUGAAAUGCGUAGAUAUAUGGAGGAACACCGGUGGCGAAAGCGGCUCUCUGGUCUGUAACUGACGCUGAGGCUCGAAAGCGUGGGGAGCGAACAGGAUUAGAUACCCUGGUAGUCCACGCCGUAAACGAUGAGUGCUAGGUGUUAGGCCCUUUCCGGGGCUUAGUGCCGUAGCUAACGCAUUAAGCACUCCGCC